UAUAUGUGAUAAUGAUUGAAGGAACUGUAGAAGUGUUCUCAGUGUCAUUCUUCAUUUAUUAGUUCAGCAAUUAUACGCUUGGGGAUUUAGUCCAUAUCUAUUAUGAAGAGUAGAUGAAGUAUUUUUGUGUAUAAAAAGUGUCCCUCAAAAUGAUAUUUGGAAAGCUCUGCUGUGACGAGAGAUACUCGCUAGAUUAAAACGAAAUUAUAGAGAUAAGAUAUUCGAAGUGCCGCGCCGAGACGCCAUUUCUUGCUUGCCUCUCGAGGUUUCUUGGAGAAUAUUCUCUGGAAUCAAUGAUGAAUACUAUCAGUAAAUCAAAAAGGGGCGGUGACGACAUAGUGUUAUGUACGAAG